UAGCACAGAGAGCUUGCUCUCGGGUGACGAGCGGCGGACGGGUGAGUAAUGUCUGGGAAACUGCCUGAUGGAGGGGGAUAACUACUGGAAACGGUAGCUAAUACCGCAUAACGUCGCAAGACCAAAGUGGGGGACCUUCGGGCCUCAUGCCAUCAGAUGUGCCCAGAUGGGAUUAGCUAGUAGGUGGGGUAACGGCUCACCUAGGCGACGAUCCCUAGCUGGUCUGAGAGGAUGACCAGCCACACUGGAACUGAGACACGGUCCAGACUCCUACGGGAGGCAGCAGUGGGGAAUAUUGCACAAUGGGCGCAAGCCUGAUGCAGCCAUGCCGCGUGUGUGAAGAAGGCCUUCGGGUUGUAAAGCACUUUCAGCGGGGAGGAAGGCGAUAAGGUUAAUAACCUUGUCGAUUGACGUUACCCGCAGAAGAAGCACCGGCUAACUCCGUGCCAGCAGCCGCGGUAAUACGGAGGGUGCAAGCGUUAAUCGGAAUUACUGGGCGUAAAGCGCACGCAGGCGGUCUGUCAAGUCGGAUGUGAAAUCCCCGGGCUCAACCUGGGAACUGCAUUCGAAACUGGCAGGCUAGAGUCUUGUAG
rnacentral:rRNA from 1 species